GAUGAACGCUGGCGGCGUGCCUAACACAUGCAAGUCGAACGAGACUGAUUGGAUUGAGAUUUCGGUUGAUUUCUAUGAAAGUCGAGUGGCGGACGGGUGAGUAACACGUGGGUAACCUGCCUUACAGAGGGGGAUAACAGUUUGAAAAGACUGCUAAUACCGCAUAAGCACACAGUACCGCAUGGUACGGGGUGAAAAAGAUUUAUCGCUGUAAGAUGGACCCGCGUCUGAUUAGCUAGUUGGUGGGGUAACGGCCUACCAUGGCGACGAUCAGUAGCCGGACUGAGAGGUUGAACGGCCACAUUGGGACUGAGACACGGCCCAGACUCCUACGGGAGGCAGCAGUGGGGGAUAUUGCGCAAUGGGGGAAACCCUGAUGCAGCGACGCCGCGUGAGCGAAGAAGUAUUUCGGUAUGUAAAGCUCUAUCAGCAGGGAAGAAGAAAUGACGGUACCUGACUAAGAAGCCCCCGGNUAACUACGUG
rnacentral:rRNA from 1 species